rnacentral:rRNA from 1 species
AUUGAACGCUGGCGGCAUGCCUUACACAUGCAAGUCGAACGGUAACGGGUCCUUCGGGAUGCCGACGAGUGGCGAACGGGUGAGUAAUAUAUCGGAACGUGCCCAGUAGUGGGGGAUAACUGCUCGAAAGAGCAGCUAAUACCGCAUACGACCUGAGGGUGAAAGGGGGGGAUCGCAAGACCUCUCGCUAUUGGAGCGGCCGAUAUCAGAUUAGCUAGUUGGUGGGGUAAAGGCCUACCAAGGCAACGAUCUGUAGUUGGUCUGAGAGGACGAGCAGCCACGCUGGGACUGAGGCACGGCCCAGACUCCGACGGGAGGCAGCAGUGGGGAAUUUUGGACAAUGGGCGCAAGCCUGAUCCAGCAAUGCCGCGUGCAGGAAGAAGGCCUUCGGGUUGUAAACUGCUCUUGUCAGGGAAGAAAUCUUCUGGGCUAAUACCCCGGGAGGAUGACGGUACCUGAAGAAUAAGCACCGGCUAACUACGUGCCAGCAGCCGCCGUAA